GGCACUGCCCGAAUAUAGGGUGAGCCGGACAAAGCGAUGGCAAGCGGAGGAAGCCGGUGUGAGUCCGGCGCGGUCCCGCCACUGUCACCGGAUCGGUUCAUCCGGUCCGGGAGCCAGAAACUCCGGCCGUCGCAACCCACUACCC
rnacentral:ncRNA from 2 species